rnacentral:rRNA from 1 species
AAAACUUUUAACAACGGAUCUCUUGGUUCUGGCAUCGAUGAAGAACGCAGCGAAAUGCGAUAAGUAAUGUGAAUUGCAGAAUUCAGUGAAUCAUCGAAUCUUUGAACGCACAUUGCGCCCGCUAGUAUUCUGGCGGGCAUGCCUGUUCGAGCGUCAUUUCAACCCUCAAGCACUGCUUGGUGUUGGGG